rnacentral:piRNA from 1 species
UCCGGGUACAAACAUCUGAGGCACUGGC